ACCAGCCAUCUAAGUUGACAGCUGUGAUCUUUACUGUCUUGUGCACCUGAAAACUACAUCAUGACAUUUAAGCCAUGCUCGCUAGCUGAGAUGGCCCCAGCAGCAGCCACAAAUCCCAGGCAGAAUGGAAAUGCUAAAUUCCGUGUUUGGGGCUUGAUUUGAAGGGCAAGAACACUCAGAUUCAUGAGGCUGAACUUCUAGCAACGGUUAACCUUGACUGCCAACUUGAUUGGGUCUGAAACUAAUUAAACAACAUGCCUAAGAGCAGAUUAGUGAGACGAUUUCAAGGAUGCUUUAACGGAAGGGACUCUCCCAUGUGUAUGUAGGACCUUCAGCCCAGAGGUAAAGGAGUCCUAGGAAAAAGCAGUGCUCCACCUACCCACCUUUACUUUCUGUUGAUGGCCAGAGGAGAAGGCAGACACUUGGCAGAAAAAAGUCAUCAGGGUUUGCUGCACAAGUGUGAGGACUUGAGUUCGAACCUCAACACCUGCAUGAAAGCUGGCCCCAGCGAUGAGCACCUGUCAUUCCAACCCUGGGGAGGCGGAGACAGCAAGUGCAGCUGAUGUCCACACCUGCUGGGGCCAUGUGUGAAUGGAGACACCUACUACAGAGGAGUGGGAGGCUCUCAACAGGGUCAGGCAACAACAGCUCCCCAGGGAAGGCGGUGUGAAGGCAGCCCAGCAUUGACCAUCUUAAGGAAGAGAGCCCGUUCCGGUCAGUGAGGUGGCCCAGCAGGUA
rnacentral:lncRNA from 1 species